AUAAAUACAAAGCUUGGCUUUUAGCAUAGCUAGCUAACUCUCCUGAGCCAACUCCUCUUGGAUUAUGAGAAAGAACCGGGAUUUGUUGUCACACAAACGUGGAGGCGCCAGCGAACGCUCUGCAUUUUUUUUCUUUAAGCGAACUUAUUUAGUCAGAUAGUUAUUUGUUGUAAAGUAAAUGCAGUUACAUUCUAAAGCAAAAUCAAAUUGAAAGAGAGACUGACCUUUUCAAAAGUUGCACAAUAUUUCUUCUCCAUCAAUGUGUUGAAGUGAGAUCUGCCUGGUAGGUAGUUUUCAUGGUAAUCCGGGUUAAACUGUUUAAUCAUGUUUUUGAACCCUUCAUCGUCUACCAUGGACAAUGGUCUCAUAUCCGUCACCAACACGUUCAGUAUGGACUCCGUCAGGACAUUUGCUUGCUGAGGUGUGCAUGUAGCUGGCUUGGUAACAAAGCUGUCCAUUGAAGAAGAACGUACUUUUUUAGCACUGAAACAUAACGUUAGAAAACAUUAGCAUUCCUAUUCAAACACAUCAGUGUUAUAACAUUACAGAAAACACAUGAAUGCGUGCUAAGGCUAAUUAAACAAAUCGCCAUCGCUAAUGUUAACAAUUACAGCUAUAAAUAUGAGUAAGUACUAAGUUAACGCUCUGUUUACGCUAAUUUUAGCAGCUAAGUAGCAAUUUAGCUUACCGAGAUGACGGUCCCUCUUCAUCACUUUCACAAACAGUCACAACAUGCUUCCUUUUCAGGUGCUCGUGCAUCGCUGUUGUGCUGCCAUGAAAGGCAAGUUUUGCACUGCAGAUAUUGCACUGCACACGUUUUUCUUUGGUUUUCUUAAAGUGAUCCCACACUUUUGAGGUCCGUAGCCGGGUGGCCAUACCAGAGCCUGUCUGUAUAACGUCCGCUGCCUACACCGGUUUACACUACUGCGCAUGUGCGUCACGGAGCAAUUUGGAGGGAAAACAAAGAAGAAGAAAAAACGACGCGUCGACUAUUAAAUUAGUCGUCGACUAUUUUAAUAGUCGACAUAAUCGUGACUAGUCGACUAAUCGUGGCAGCCCUAGUUGGCAAUAUGCAAGAUAUCCUUAGUCAAACCCUAAGAUGUGCUGUCAACAAAUAUAUGACCAGUAUUUAUUUCAUCAUAAGUUUAAUAUCCCAUUAAAUCCUCGCUCUGUUAAAUUAGUUACUAGUUAAUGAGACAAACAGGAACUGUAAUACAUCUUUAUUUAAUAAGAGUUUUUCACUGCUUAUCAGCCUGGUAGGCAUCUAGAGCUAGUUACCAGCCUGAGGGGCAUAUAGUAACUGUUAAACAUCUCCUUUAUUUAAUAAGAUUAUUAACUGAGAUACUGGUAGGUAUAAAGAGCUAGUUACCAGCCUGAGUAGCAUGGGGUAAAUGCAAUAUAGCUAAAUGUAUUUAUUUAGACAGGGGCUAGCAAACUAAGCAACAUACUUGGCAGCUUUAAGCAAAAAAAUAUUAGGGAAAAGCUUGCAUUCAGUAGAGUCCCACAGCUAACUAGCUAGCUCUAUCUGAGGAGCAGUUAUCUAGAUUAUAAUUUAGUUAAGUUACUAUUUCAGCUUUUUUCUAGUAUGUUCAGCAUUUAUCUAGUUAGUGUUGGGCUUUAUUUACUUAACUAAUCUAGCAUAGUUAGGUUAGCAUGGUCUAUCUGGAUGUAAUAAAUAAUUGAAACAAUUUACAAACAACAGAUUUAGUCCAUGAUUAAAGUUAUGAUUUCUGUACCAUUUUAGCGAUAUUAUAACAUACUGCUGACAUAAAUCCCCUAUUUUCAGCUGAAAGGUUGAAAAUAAUCAUGUUUAAACUUACCGGCUGCAGAGCAGGAGGGACAAAACUGAAAAUCCCGCCGCGGUUUUCUCCUCUGACUGGACAGAAAGCUGUGCUGCCUUCAGCUGCUCUGCUGUACUGUGAUUGGCUGGGAAGUCCGUGGGCGUGGCAAUAUAUGUUGUGCCUCAGAGGAAGCGCUGCCUGUCAGGCCUUGUUGAGGGAACAAAAGUCCCUUGUGCGCCAUAGAUAUCUUAUAAUAUAUAAAUACUUGCUUUCAAAAUGAAAUACUUUAUAUUAUGCUCUUUAACAAAGACAGACAUAUCGUAUAGCAUAUUAAUAAGGUUUAUAAAUUAAUUUUAUAUUUAUAUAUACACAUAAUUACACAGAUUAUAUAUAUAAUAUAUAUAUUUUUUUAAUUAAGAGAUUUGCAGAAAAUGAGAAAUGGCUGAAAUAACAAAAAUGGCGCAGAGCUUUCAGACCUCAAAUAAUGCAAAGAAUUAUAGAUCAACAUUUCAUAUAUCUAUAUGUAUAUAUAUAUAUGUCACACCUUAGCCUGUGUCUGUCCAGUGUCUUUCCUAUUUUUUGGUUCCUUCCUGCUCCUGUCCUGUUCUCUAUUGUUUACCUGUCAUGUUUCCCAGCCAUGUGCUACUGUUGUGUUUUGGUCUUGUCUCCGCCUUAGCCCCGCCUUGUCAUCUGAAACCCCUCCUGUCUCAUUUGUAACUCCGCCCCCCUCAUUACCUCUACAGGUGUCCCUAGUGUGUCCUUGUGUAUAAAUACCUCAUGUGCUCCUUUGUUCUCUGUUGCGCUUUUUGUUUGACCGUGUCCUGUUACUCUGUCCGGAUCUUGUAAAUCUGUUUUGUUUAGCCUCAGACCUUCUGUUUUGUUUGUCUUCAGUGUUCAGGUUUGCUUUAUGUAAUUUGUUUCUUUAUUAGUUAUUUUGCUUGUUUGUUUCAGUCUUUUAGUUGUUUCAUAGUGUUUUGUUUUAGUUUCCUUUUCUUAUAUUAUUCCAUAGUGGUUGUUCUUUGUUUAUUUUUUCUAAUAUGGUAAAUAAAACUGACUUGCGUUUACAUCCUGCCUCCUCUUCGUUACAUAAAGCGCGACCUACUGAGGAUGCAGCAAGUCGGCUUAUGGCAAACCAGGGACAAAUUAAGUUUUUGGAGAGCCUUGUCUCCAAGCUCCAAAAUGGUCAGCCGCUGUUACUGCCCUCGUUGAUGUCUACCCCCUGUGAGUAUGAUGGGGAACAUGGGACCUGCGAGGCCUUCAUCAUGCAGUGCUUCAUCUACCUUGAUCACUUGUUGUGCCCCUACUCCUCCAGAGCUUAUAAAGGUACUUUUUAUUAAAACUUUGCUGAGGGGUAGGGCAUCAGAGUGGGGGGACAUUGUGUUGGAACGUAGACCUGAAAAGGAAAGACACUGGACAGACACAGCCUAAGGUGUGAUUUUUCAUGACUUUUCUGUCAUUGAUUAGACUUUCAUGUUAUUUCAGGUGUCCUUAAUAAUGGCCUUGACCUGAAUUUCAGAUCUUCCUAUAGACCUCCUGUCAAACAACAGCCAUGAGUACACCAAAGACCAGAAGGAGUUUGCAAUCACCAGAAGGAGCUUGCACCUAUUUACGAGUCUCCCACAUCCGCAUACUUUACAAAGGUUUUGUAUGCUGUUCCUGUUUGUGUACAGGGACCAUAAUAAAAAGAAUGAUGCGUGAAAAAAGGUGUCGGAAUCUGUUGGGCCAGUGGAAGAAUGCAAGAAAAGGUGGAAAAAUAUGAGGGACACUUUUCAGAGAAAAAAAUAAUAGGAAAAGAGAGAGAAACAGGAGUGGAGCAGUCAGCAGUCGGCCGUGGAGCUAUAUGAGGGUCAUGAGCUUCCUCAACCCCUUUGUUAAAAGUAGACCCACUAGUGGGAACAUGGUUGUCGAGGUUGAGGAGGCCCUGACCCAGAAUAAUCAGGAAGAGACAGAGCAGACCCAGGGACAGUGUCAGGAUGUGCAGGGAGGAAGAGAAGAGGAACUACACCACCUACCUCUGGAGUAACUUCAGGACUUUCUCCUGAUCCCUUGCCAAAAAAAAGGAGGCAGAGCAAUGCAACAGUUUUUAAAGUAAAGCUGUAAAAAUUUUGGAAAGUGUUGCCUCCCAAAAAACAUCUCCACCUACUGAAGACCCUGAUGAGAUGUUUUUUAGAAGCAUCCUUUCAGAUUUUAAAAGUCUGACAGAGAGGAAGAGGGAUGGAUUAAAGUUUUAAAUACACCAGCUAGUUUUUGAAAAGUGUCAGGAGGCAGAGGAAAACACACAUUUUUUUUUGUUUUGUUUUUAAACCAGCUAUCAUCUACAUCACACAUUUUGAGGUGCAGCUGACAAGACUGUGAGGGGUGUCAGUAAGCUUAUUUCCCUCACAGUCUAGUCAGCUGUAUCUUGAACACACACUGUUACAUGUCAACAUGCAACCGUUUUGUAUUUCAUGUAUAAAGUAAAUGGAUAAAUAUCGGGGGUUUUUUGUUUGGUUUUUUUUUGCAUUUUUGCAGCAAAGUUUCGGGAUGCAGAGAAAAACAAAAAUAUAUUUUAUUAUUUUCUACACAAUUUAUUAACUACAACACAUUUUAAAGUACAGCUGACGAGACUGUAAAAGCUGAUUUCCCUCACAGUUGUGUCAGCUGCACCUUAAACACACACAAACAGUAGUGUGUAUAUGACUAAAAUAUACUAAUUAAUAUAGUUUUUUAUAUACAAAUUAAAGGACUUCACAAGGGAAAUGUCAUUGAGUUUGUUUAAUUUAAUUCUUUUUUUGUUAAUUCAAUGUAAUUAGUUAAUUUGUUACUGUCAACAUUUGUGUUAAUGAUCAAAGUUAUUGUUACACUAAUAAACUAAGUUACUUAAAUGAAUCUCUGUGAUUUCAGAUAUUCUUGUUAUAAAAUUAUGUUUUAAAUUACAACUGGAGGUGACGAUAAUACAUUGACAUGUACUUUAUAUUGCAGUGUAGUUUUAUUAAGUGAAUUGGAGGAACUAAUGCUUAUUACUGUAAAUGUACUGUAUUAGUGU